ACUAACAGGAUUCCCCUAGUAACUGCGAGUGAAGCGGGAAAAGCUCAAAUUUAAAAUCUAAUGGUCCUUGGCCAUUCGAGUUGUAAUUUAGAGAAGCGUCUUCCGCGCCAGACCAUGUACAAGUCUCCUGGAACGGAGCGUCAUAGAGGGUGAGAAUCCCGUCUUUGACAUGGACCCUUGGUGCUUCUGUGAUGCGCUCUCAAAGAGUCGAGUUGUUUGGGAAUGCAGCUCAAAAUGGGUGGUGAACUCCAUCUAAGGCUAAAUAUUGGCGAGAGACCGAUAGCGAACAAGUACCGUGAGGGAAAGAUGAAAAGCACUUUGGAAAGAGAGUGAAACAGUACGUGAAAUUGUUGAAAGGGAAACACUUGAAGUCAGUCGCGUCGAUCGAGACUCAGCCUUGSCUYGGCUUGGCGUACUUCUCGACUUGACGGGCCAGCAUCAAUUUCAUCCCUCGGAUAAUGGCAGGGGAAAGGUGGCACCUUCACCGGUGUGUUAUAGUCUCUUGUCGCAUGCGAGGGGUGGGAUUGAGGAACUCAGCACGCACCUCACGGUGUCGGGGCUUCGGCCCACGUUACGUGCUCAGGAUGCCGGCGUAAUGGCUUUAAAUGACCCGUCUUGAAACACGGACCAAGGAGUCUAACAUGCCUGCGAGUGUUCGGGUGGAAAACCCGUGUGCGUAAUGAAAGUAAAAGUUGGGACCUCUGUCGUGGAGGGCACCGACGCCCGGACCAGACCUUCUGUGACGGAUCUGCGGUAGAGCAUGCAUGUUGGGACCCGAAAGAUGGUGAACUAUGCCUGAAUAGGGUGAAGCCAGAGGAAACUCUGGUGGAGGCUCGUAGCGAUUCUGACGUGCAAAUCGAUCGUCAAAUUUGGGUAUAGGGGCGAAAGACUAAUCGAACC
rnacentral:rRNA from 2 species